rnacentral:rRNA from 1 species
CAAUAGCGUAUAUUAAAGUUGUUGCAGUUAAAAAGCUCGUAGUUGAAUUUCUGGCGGGCGCGCCGGUCUUCCAAGUGUUGUACUGGGCGCAGUCCGCCAUCCUUGUGGAGAGGGCUCGCAUUGAGUUGCGUGUCGGAUCUGCAUCAUUUACUGUGAAAAAAUUAGAGUGUUUAAAGCAGGCUGUCGCUUGAAUACAUUAGCGUGGAAUAAUAAGAUAGGACUUCGGUCUAUUUUGUUGGUUGCGAACCGAGGUAAUGAUUAAUAGGGAUAGUUGGGGGUAUUCAUAUUUAAUUGUCAGAGGUGAAAUUCUUGGAUUUAUGAAAGAUGAACAACUGCGAAAGCAUUUACCAAGGAUGUUUUCAUUAA